ACGAACGCUGGCGGCGUGCCUAAUACAUGCAAGUAGAACGCUGAAGAGAGGAGCUUGCUCUUCUUGGAUGAGUUGCGAACGGGUGAGUAACGCGUAGGUAACCUGCCUUGUAGCGGGGGAUAACUAUUGGAAACGAUAGCUAAUACCGCAUAACAAUGGAUGACACAUGUCAUUUAUUUGAAAGGGGCAAUUGCUCCACUACAAGAUGGACCUGCGUUGUAUUAGCUAGUAGGUGAGGUAAUGGCUCACCUAGGCGACGAUACAUAGCCGACCUGAGAGGGUGAUCGGCCACACUGGGACUGAGACACGGCCCAGACUCCUACGGGAGGCAGCAGUAGGGAAUCUUCGGCAAUGGGGGCAACCCUGACCGAGCAACGCCGCGUGAGUGAAGAAGGUUUUCGGAUCGUAAAGCUCUGUUGUAAAUCAAGAACGGGUGUGAGAGUGGAAAGUUCACACUGUGACGGUAGCUUACCAGAAAGGGACGGCUAACUACGUG
rnacentral:rRNA from 1 species